GUGUUUGUUGUUAAGGGCACACGGUGGAUGCCUUGGCACAGUAAGCCGAUGAAGGACGUGUAAGGCCGCGAUAGGCCUCGGGGAGUUGCCAAUAGAGCGUUGAUCCGAGGGUGUCCGAAUGGGGAAACCUGGCUGCAGUGAUGUGUAGUCGCCCGCUGGUGAAUUCAAUAGCUGGUGUGGAGGGAACGCGGGGAAGUGAAACAUCUCAGUACCCGUAGGAGAAGAAAAUAAUAAUGAUUCUGCUAGUAGCGGCGAGCGAACGUGGAUUUUUGGCUAAACCAUAUGCGUGUGAUACCUGGCAGGGG
rnacentral:ncRNA from 1 species